rnacentral:rRNA from 1 species
AGAGUUUGAUCAUGGCUCAGAACGAACGCUGGCGGCAGGCCUAACACAUGCAAGUCGAGCGCUUCACUUCGGUGAGGAGCGGCGGACGGGUUAGUAACGCGUGGGAAUAUACCCAGUUCUAAGGGAUAGCGACUGGAAACGGUGAGUAAUACCUUAUACGCCCUUCGGGGGAAAGAUUUAUCGGAAUUGGAUUAGCCCGCGUUAGAUUAGAUAGUUGGUGAGGUAACGGCUCACCAAGUCUACGAUCUAUAGCUGGUUUGAGAGGAUGAUCAGCAACACUGGGACUGAGACACGGCCCAGACUCCUACGGGAGGCAGCAGUGGGGAAUCUUGGACAAUGGGCGCAAGCCUGAUCCAGCCAUGCCGCGUGAGUGAUGAAGGCCUUAGGGUCGUAAAACUCUUUCGCCAGGGAUGAUAAUGACAGUACCUGGUAAAGAAACCCCGGCUAACUCCGUGCCAGCAGCCGCGGUAAUACGGAGGGGGUUAGCGUUGUUCGGAAUUACUGGGCGUAAAGCGUACGUAGGCGGAUUAGAAAGUUAGGGGUGAAAUCCCAGGGCUCAACCCUGGAACUGCCUUUAAAACUCCUAGUCUAGAGGUCGAGAGAGGUGAGUGGAAUUCCAAGUGUAGAGGUGAAAUUCGUAGAUAUUUGGAGGAACACCAGCGGCGAAGGCGGCUCACUGGCUCGAUACUGACGCUGAGGUACGAAAGUGUGGGGAGCAAACAGGAUUAGAUACCCUGGUAGUCCACACCGUAAACGAUGAAUGCCAGACGUCAGCAAGCAUGCUUGUUGGUGUCACACCUAACGGAUUAAGCAUUCCGCCUGGGGAGUACGGUCGCAAGAUUAAAACUCAAAGAAAUUGACGGGGGCCCGCACAAGCG